AUUGAACGCUGGCGGCAUGCCUUACACAUGCAAGUCGAACGGCAGCGGGUCCUUCGGGAUGCCGGCGAGUGGCGAACGGGUGAGUAAAGCAUCGGAACGUACCGUGUAGUGGGGGAUAACGUAGCGAAAGGUACGCUAAUACCGCAUACGCUGUGAGCAGGAAAGCGGGGGAUCGCAAGACCUCGCGCUAUCCCAGCGGCCGAUGUCAGAUUAGCUAGUUGGUGAGGUAAGGGCUCACCAAGGCGACGAUCUGCAGCGGCUAUGAGAGGAUGAUCCGCCACACUGGGACUAAGAGCCGGCCCAGACUCCUCCGUGAGUCAGCAGUGGUGAAUUUUGGGCAAUGGGGGCAACCCUGGUCCAGCCAUGCCGCGUGAGUGAAGAAGGCCUUCGGUUUGUAAAGCUCUUUCGGACGGGAAGAAAUCGCACGGGCUAAUACUCUGUGUGGAUGACGGUACCGUAAUAAGAAGCACCGGCUAACUACGUGCCAGCAGCCGCCGUAA
rnacentral:rRNA from 1 species